rnacentral:rRNA from 1 species
CUUUUGUCCCAUGUUCGAAGCUUUAAACGUUUCAAUUUGCAUCCCUUCGAAGAUGGGACCUGCGAUUGUAUUAUCUAGUAGGUAGGGUCCCUUCCUUCCUUAGUGAGACGAUUACAUGGCCUGACCUGAGAGAGUGAUCGGCCACAUUUGGACGGAGACUCGGCCCAGACUCCUCCGUGAGACAGCAGCUAGGGUCUCUUCGGCAAUGGGGGUAACCCUGACCGAGCAACGCCGCGAGAGUGAAGACACGUCCUCGGAUCGUAGAGCUAUGUUGUAAGAGAAGAUACGUUGUGUGAGAUUGGAAGGUUCACACAGUGACGGUAACUUACCAGAAAGGGACGGCUAAUUUACGUGCCAGCAGCCGCGGUAAUACGUAGGUCCCGAGCGUCGUCCGGAUUUAUUGGGCGUAAAGCGAGCGCAGGCGGUUCAAUAAGUCUGAAGUUAAAGGCAGUGGCUUAACCCUUGUUCGCUUCGGAAACUGUUAAACGUGAGUGCAGAAGGAGAGAGUGGAAUUCCAUGUGGAGCGGUGAAAUGCGUAGAUAUAUGGAGGAACACCGGCGGCGAAAGCGGCUCUCUGGUCCGUAAAUGACGCUGAGGCUCGAAAGCGUGGGGAGCACACACGAUUAGAUACCCCGCUAGUCCACGCCCUAAACGAUGAGUGUUACGGAGUGAGGCCCUUUCCGAGGCUUAGUGCCGCAGCUAAC